GCCGAGGCCCGCCAUGCCGCGCUCGGCCUCGGAUCCGCGGCCGCGCGGCCGGCGGGCCAGCUCCCCUCCCGCGGUCUCCCCAGCCACACCGCGCCUCCGAGGGGCCACUUGUGCAGCCCAAGGAGACGGCAGGCUGGGUUGUAAGAAAGCCCUCUUGGCACCUCGGUGUUUCCUCUCACGUUUCCCAUUGCCGGGGCCAUGUAGCCGUGACUGCGAGGCCCACUGUGAGGGCCGGCGCUGAAAAUCCCCGACACACUGACACAUGUGAAUCAUGGACAUCUUGGAAAGGCCUCAGAACGCGGCUGACACACUGAAAUUUCACCCAUAAUGAGCUGAGGCAAGACUGGUCGAGUUGGAAAGAGAGACUCUUUUCAAUGUGACUGCUGAAAUGAAGGGAGGAAGUCCACAAUUUUUUAUUGCCUUCUUAUCAUCGUGAGGAAAAAGCCAGCCCAAGAAUGGAGCCAGCUGGGAGGGAAGCAGAACCAAAAGAUCUCAAGCACGAGACCAAGUCCUGAUGACAUUGUUUAUGCUCCUUGAUGCAGAACUUGAUCUGCACCUCCUGACUUAUCCGUCUUGUGGCUGCCCCUGGAUUGCACAUGUUUGCACCCUUUGGAAGAUCCAGAAAUCCACAUGUUGAACAUGAAUCUAGGGCUGCGGUUGCUGCACAGGCUCAUCUCUAGGACCACCCCCUCUCACCCUCACCAUCUGUUCUACUUACUACUCUACCCUCCAGUCCUAGGGAACUACUUGAAUUCUCCAGCAGCUUCAGCAUGCCAUAUUCUUUGAACCCAGCAUCUUCUGAGAAGCCUUUCCUGCCGCCCCUGUGAGCCUCAGUAGCAUCCAGUGUGGACCAACUGGAGCUGGACAGGAGGGAAUAUACAAGAUACUGCAACGGAACCACCUUAAGAGGAUUCUAUUGCCGAUCCUGUCCGUUUCAAUGUGAAGUUAAACAAGAAGUGAUUUGUGAGCCUGUUUACCUCUCCCAAUAGAAUGGAAAGAGUCACAUUUGCUGUGUUUGCUGUAUUCCCUCUUCCCCCUAGGACUGAGCUGAGGCCUGUUUGUUUCUCAGCAGAACCUGCAGAGGAAAUCCCAGGAUUGAGGGAGAAGAAUAGAAACUAUUUUAUUCUGCAGUUGUUGGGUAUUCCUUUGACCCUUUUCUCCUGCAAAAUGUGGUGACUUGUGUGCUGGGUAGUGUAAAAUUCCUCCAUUGUUCAGGCCCAGGUAAAGGAAGAAGCACAGAUGCACACAAGGAUGACGCGUGUUCAAAGGCAUGUAUUUCUUCUGGGCAAUAAUUUGUUUUUAUCUUUUGAGACUAUGUAGGUAUUUAUGUUCACAAAUGAAGAGUUUACAAAGCUGACCCCUCUAUAGUUUUUAAAUGUAAUUUUUGUUAAAAUGCCAACAAUUCAUUAUAUUUUAAAAAUUAAUUAUUGAACCUCUAAUAACUUAAUUUGUAAUCAUUAGGCCUAAUAGUCAUGGAGGGAUCACGGAAGGGAGUAGGGUGAUAGAUUGAGGCAGGGUAGCACUGUGGUAAAGCAGUGGGCUCUGGAGACCUGCUGUGUGGCCUUAAGCAAGUUACUUGGCUUCUCUGUGGUUCAGUUUUCUAAUCUGUGGAAAUAGGAAACAAUAAACAUCUACUUCACAGAGUUUGUUAUGGGGAAUAAAUGUGUUAAUUUAUGCACGUGCUUACAUCCGUGUCUGACAUUUAGCUAAUACUUACUGAGCACUUUCUAUUGGGUUGGCCCAAAACUUCAUUCCGGUUUUUGGAUAUUACAGAAAAACCAGAACAAACUUUUGGGCCAACCCAAUAUGAUAUUUUGGUCACUUAUUUAUCUUUAAAGCACCCGCUUGUCUUUAACUACUUCUAAAGAAGUACCAACCAUGUCUGUUUACUUGCCUUUCUCCCUGCUAGACUCUGAAUUCCUUUAGCCAUCUUUGUAUCCCUAGCACUUACUCUGCAGGAAACGUCCAUAAUUAUCUCUUGAGUGAAUUAAUGAAUAAAUGGUAAUGAACUACUGCUUCUUCCUGCUUUCUCCUUCCUCAUGGAAGAAUGAAAAAGGAGUGUGAGUUCUGCCACGGUGUAUGAUUACUCUCUGGGGGAUGUCCGACCACAGCAAUUAAGAAUUCACAAAGAUGAUUAAUUUUACACGGCUGUGCUAGUAAAAUAACUUUGAUAGGCUCAUUGAAUGGAAAUUUCCCUAAAGGGUCAUAGAAGCCAUCUUCCUGCUUUUGGGCAGGUGGUUCUAAUAUAAUGUAGGAAUGUUAGCUGUGUACUAUUUCUAAUAAAUCUCCAAGAGAGAAUUCCUUCUCUUCCUUGGUGCUAAUAUAUAAUAAUUUAGUGGCCUAUAUCUCUUAGAUAGGAACAUCAAUGGGUAGUUUUAAAGGCAUUAAAGAUUUAGGUGAAGUACAAUGAAAAUGAAUGUCAGACUUUGGAAUGAAUUCUCAUUCAAGUAGCUGUCUUUCCUGCUUCAGAGAUUCUUUGAAAAUAAAGCUUGAUAAGUAUCAAUCCUGUGUGGUUUAACUGGAAUCCUGUCUAAGAAGAGGUCUGUUGAUACAUCAGUUGAUGUUCCUUCAUCCGGUCUUUACUGAGUGCCUUCUCUAUGCUAGGCACCAUGCUCAGGGCUGGGCUAUAGUAGUGUGUACUG